GUGCUCACUUCGGAAGCACAUAUACUAAAAUUGGAAUAAUACGGAGAAGAUUAGCAUGGCUGCUGUGCAAGGAUGACAUGCAAAUUCGUGAAGCAUUCCAUAUUUUU
rnacentral:snRNA from 1 species